rnacentral:rRNA from 1 species
ACCUGGUUGAUCCUGCCAGAGGCUACCGCUAUUGGAGUUCGAUUAAGCCAUGCGAGUCGCGAGUCUUAGGGGCUCGGCGUACCGCUCAGUAACACGUGGGUAACCUGCCCUAUGCUGGGGGAUAACCUCGGGAAACUGAGAAUAAUACCCCAUAGUUCACCACGCCUGGAACGGUGGGUGGAUGAAAGCUCCGGCGGCAUAGGAUGGGCCUGCGGCGUAUCAGGUUGUAGGGGGUGUAAUGUACCCUCUAGCCAUCUACGCGUACGGGUGUUGGGAGACAUCGCCCGGAGAUGGAUUCUGAGACACGAAUCCAGACCCUACGGGGUGCAGCAGGCGCGAAAACUUGGCAAUGCGAGAAAUCGUGACCAGGGAACUCCAAGUGCAUCGGGUAAGACCGAUGCUUUUCUUGACUCUUCAAAGGUCUUGGAAUAAGGGGUGGGUAAGGACGGUGCCAGCCGCCGCGGUAAUACCGGCGCCUCAAGUGGUAGUCGCUUUUAUUGGGCCU